CCUGCUGCUGGCCCAGCCUCUGCUUCCCCUGGGACAGGGGCUGGAGGUGGCUCAGGUUCCCAGGAUAAAAACCUGAUCCCCACGGGCAUCCCCUGCUUGCUGGCCUUCAUCCUCCUCAUCCUCCCCACAGCCAGCAGGGACCGAGACAAAUCAGCCCGGUUUGGUUUUGAUGCCUGAGUGCAGCCAAUUUAACGGCGCUCUCAGGUCUGUCCCAGCACGUCCCCAUCACCCUCCCGCCGGCUCUGAGAGCUUUUGCACAGCGUGAGCUUGCAGAGAGAGAUUAAAAAAAUGCGAGAACGGUGCAAAGGGUCAGAGUGAGCCCCUCUAACGGUGACUUCUACGUGGCACCAAAUAAACAAUUUCAACUGGUCUCCAGAAA